GGGCAUUAAGUUGCUUCAGGUAACUUCUGUUCUGUAUGUUACUAUAGGCAGCGGUGUCCAAACGUUUUUCAAAGAGGGCCAGAUUUGAUGAAAUUAAGGGCUGUGAGGGCCGACCAAAGUUGUUGACCUUUUGUUAGGAUUGAAGUUGUUGACCUUUUUUAAUGUUAUUACCCCAAAGUUGUUGAGGAUUGAAGAUAUUGAGCUUUUUUUAGGGUUGAACUUUUUAAGUUUUUACCCCAGGAAAUAGGAAAUGAACUGCCACAGGGGCCAGAUUAGACCAAACGGACUUUGGACAUGCCUGCUAUAGAGGAUAGUAUUGACUAGAAUUCCUUGGAGACUUUGGUUGUCCUAAAAAUAUCCUAGACUGCAUAAUAUCCAUUUAGCUAUCCUUAUCCAUUUAAUAUCCAUUGAAAUGUCCUUCUUUAUAUUUUUUUGCUGUUUGUCAUAAUCUUUACACUCUGUGUUGUGUGCAACAUAGCACUAGGUCACUUGUUUUGUCAGUGUGAGGAUUUCUCCUUGCACAAGGGAAUGUUCUCCACCUUUCCUCCUUCCAAACUAGAGGAGAAGCGGAUCUGGGGGCAGUGUAGUGCACGUGGAGGGAGGAGGAGGAGGAGGAGGAGGAGAGUUAAAGUGCCGUUGUGCUGGCAGCAAUCCUUGCCAUAGUGCUUUUAUUUGGUCAAAUACAGCCUGAUCUUUUUUCAUGCUGAGUUCAAAAGUGAAGUUUUAAAAGUGUGUAUUCUUGAAACCUUCGAAAUGUUUAUUUAAAAAUGGGGAUUCUGAGGAGGAACACAUUAUUUUACUGUUUUAAGGCCAGAGUAGACAUUGUGAAAAUGGCAUGGGAUGUUCUGUGAAACUUUGUUGCCGAAAAUUUAGCUUUGAUAUUAGGACACUGGCAAGUUGUUCUAAUCAUUGCAGUGGGAGAGGGGGAAACUAGAUGUGCAACUCUCAUUCUUUGGCUGCAGGCCUGUGCUUAUCACAAUGUCGAGUUCGGCCUUGAGGAUGGGUAUAAAGACAGUCUUGUUCAACAGCUGUAUUGUUAGAAAAGGGAUUUGAACUAGCAUAGUUAACAGAGAUAUAUAUAAAAUCAGAGGUGUACUUGUCUUUUUAAACCUCUGAAAGCUAUAUGUAUAGAGAGCUUUCAGAGAUUUAAAAGACAAGUACACUUCUGAUGAUACAGUACAUAGUUUUUUGUGUAUGCUUUGGGAUUUAAUUUUGGGAUGCUUAUCUCUGAAGGGCCCUUGUAGUGAACCAGCUGCCUAACUUGUAGCUUAUUUAAUAGAUACGUUUCUUCAGAACAAUGCUUUUAAUUUAUUACCACAGGAAGACUUGGGAGGAUGUAGGUUCCUGCAUAGGAUCUGUAUUGUGCACAUGCAACAGAAUGAGGAAGUAAAGGAAGGAAAGUUAAGGCCAAGAGACCCUGGUAUCCUUUGCACCUAAGAGAUGUAGUAAACAUGCAGUUUCAACCUUUCUUCUUUGUGUUGUAAAGCUUUGAUGAGCGCAAAGGAAGUUUACAUGUCCAAAAGUGAAAUGGAUCAGAACUAGAAAUAAUUAAGGAAUGGCUUUCUCUUCCUGGGCACAAGCAGUGCUACCAGGCCCAGAACAGAUGCCUUGUAACUUAGAAAAUUUGUUUGGAAAUGGUUUUCAUGGUUAUAUAUAUAUAUUUUAAAUAAAAUAUUACGCUGUUUAAUAUGAUAAUUUUUAAGCUGUUUAUAUCAGAGACAAUAAAAAGAAAUGUCAGUAUCAAUUCAUAUAAAAGUACCAACAAGAACUUUCAAAUUUCAUAAUUAAGUAAAAACAAAACUAUGGGUUGAAUCUAAUAAAGUCAUUGUGCAAGUGGAAUAACUUCCACCAAUGCUGUGGAUCUCCAAAACAUAUCUGAGGGUGGGGGAGAAGGGGGAACUGAAGUUCUGUUGUGGGAGCGGACACCAUUCUGCUCAAGUAAUGUGUUUGUUGGGUACAACCCUAUAUAUCACAGACAAAGCUGAGUGGUAUACAAAGAAUGAAACAUUAAGAAUCCAAAUCUAGAAAUGCUUGCGUAAACAUAUGUUUUCAAGAGGCAUUUAAAGGUCAUGACUGUCUUCUACUGUCUCACAUACUUGCCAAGUGACAGUCCUCUCUCUGGUCAUGGAACAACCAGACCUUGAACUUGGCUUGAUAGUAAUGGGUGUAUGGGAUGGCCUCAAAGACAGAUUUGCCAGGAAUGUGUGUUAAUAUUAUAGACCUUGAACUCUUUGCAUAUUUUUAGGUUCUCUAUAUUAUUUUCCCCACCUUGCUUGCUUUAAAGGCUUAGGAACCAUUUCUGGUUUUCUGCAUGCAUAGGUUCAGGUAUCGUGAGUGUUUAAUUGCUGCCUUCCCCCCUUCUUUGCCUUGUAAAAUAUUAGAACUGUGAAUAUAGUAAAAGAAGAGAGCAAAGCAUAAAAAAUUAUACUGGUGGAAAGGAGCUAUAUUAGUGUUGAUUUUUUAAUUCAGAAAGUUAAUAAAGAAUGCAUGUGUUUCUCCCAACCAAUUUUUUGAUUAUUUGAUAUUCUUCUCCAGUACACCAGUUUAGUAAUUUGGGUGAUUUCCCACAUCUUUAGUAACUAUUCUUGUAAGGUUAGGACUCUUUUACUUUAUGAAGCUGAGCAACGCAUACCUUUGCUCUGGGGUUGGGAAGUGGGCUCUCUAUUCUUGAUCCACUGAACACUAUUUUAAAGUUCCAGAAAGUGUAAUUCAGAAUUUAAAUAAUGUUGCUUCGGGACUUAAGACUCUUUGUAUUAGGAUGCUGAGAUUCACCUGAUCUAAUGGGGAGGUCUGCCAUCUAGUGGAAUUGAAGUGGCGCUUACAAACACAUGGGGAAAAUAGGCCCAGAAUUAUGAAUGAAAACCUAGCUGCAUUUCUUGAGUCUAAACUUCUUUGUUUUGUAAAAUGCUUUUUUUGUAAUAGCACAAAUGCAGUUGCACAAGGCAAAGUAAUGUUACGUUAUUUUGUACCUUGGCUUGGAGGAAUUACCGUAUGUUGAAUCAGCGUGGUUGCCCCCUAAUGAUAAAGUGGUAUCUGAGCCAAAAUCCUGAGGCUAUAUGCAUAGAGCACCCUUCACCAACCUUUGAUAUCUUCCAGAUGUGGCAGGCAUAUGGUUGGCAAAAGCCAGGAUAGAGAAAUGGGAGGGGGGAACUGGUUUAUAGUGGGAGGAGAUAAAGGGCAAGUCAGGUUGCAUCCUGGCAUGAUGUUGGUUCUCAUUCAAGUGAAGAAAAAAAAUGCUAUAAAACAUUAUGAAAUGACCCAGGGUGUGUGUGUGGGGGGGAGUCUUACACAUUUCUGUACCCCAUUUUGGACAGUUAUAAUCUCAAGAGUUGAAGAAGAACACAAGAGCUAGAUUCUGGCUUGAAGGCUAAGAAAUGUACCGUAUUUGUUUGUUUUAUCUUAUUGCCCCAUUGAUCUGUGAAGCUGUUGCCACAACUGGCAGGCUUGGUCUAGCUUACUUUCUGGCUUUCUAAACUGAUCACAACUUGGUAUUUCAGAGUAGGGGGGGGGUAUUGUUGUUUGGUAUACAGUUCCCUUUCUCUGCAAUCAUGAUUUCCCUACAUUGCAGUGUUGCCCCCACUACUUCAGAUUUCACAUAUUAUAUAUACACAUGACACAUAAGCAAAAUAAAGUUAAAGGGAUGCUCUCGGGGACACCACUGGAGUUGUGGGGCAAAACUAUUUCUGACCCUUGUUGGCUCUAACCCGUUUACAAUCAAGACUGUAAUGUUCCAUCUUGGAUUAUUUUUCAGCAUAUUUGAAGGCAAUGGAAUGUUGGAACUGGGGGGGGAAUGGAUAGACACACAGAUACUGGUAGCAAAAAUCAAGAAAGAAGAGGCUUUCUUAAAAGUUUCUAUAUUAUGAGUACUGACACAUUUCAAAACAGGACAAUCUCUUAAACUGAACCAGUAUCGAUAAAUCUAAAUUUCAUAUUUGGACUAUAAAAUUCUUUCCAUAUUGUCUGUUCAGCUAUCUGUUUUCAGAUUAAUUGCUGCAGAAACCUAUUGGUCAUCCAGUCAGGAAACCAGCAAUUCCGGACCAUGUAAGAAUUUCUGAAUAAAGGAGACAAAAUAUCAGGGCUUUUCACUAUUGGCUCAUUUCCAGUUUUGUUCUGCUCCAUCAGCUAGGUGGCAAGUUUUGUAGAGCUGUUAAUUUUGCUCCUGUUGUAAACGUGAUGUUUCAGAAAUACUCCCUAUGUAUAUUUGUUUGCACAUGUGUUUUAUAUAUUUAUGUAAGUGUUUGUGGUUUGUGUAAUAUUUACUUUGUGUGGCUAAGAAUAUUUGAUGCCUGGCCUGUUUCCAAAGGUGUGUGAAGUGGAAAAUUCUGUUCUGUUAAUUUUGGACAGGUAAAUUGUAAUCACUUAUAGAUAAUUUCAGUGUUAGAUACUCAUGCUAUUGUUCCCAUUUACCCUUUCUAUGUCUCUUUGAGUUGUACAUCUUGAAGACUAUACAUUGAAAAGAAAAACAAUGGAGGUUAAAAUAUAAUUGUGGUGUAUGUAUUAUUACCACAAAUUAUAACUAACAAAGAUAAAUUGGUUCGGUAUGGUAACGUAGUUCUUGGUGUGCAGUAUUGCCCAUUGAAGAUGAUGGUGGAAAAAAACAAAUGAUUUUUAGUGUAGUUGAACUUUACACUUAGGCUGGAAAUGCAUAUUAUGGGGUAAACAUGGGUCCCAAAGUUAGUACAUGGGAAGGGGGGACCUUUGCAGAGGAGCUGUGAAGGCUAUACUUAGGCAUUGUCAUUCACUCAUUUCCCCAAAUCUUCUGCCCUUGUUAUUUUGUGAAACAAGAAUUAGACAUAGCCUGAAAAUUUGUAGAGUCAUCCAAUAUAUUGCUUACUAAAGACUAUAGGAUCAAUCAGGUUUUAUCAACGUAGCCAGACAGAAAUUGAGCAUAGAUAUUUUUUUUUGUUAACUGAAGUUUAAUGAAAUGUGAAGUAUACCUAAUCAAUUGGGAUUGUUUCUUUUAAUAAGCACUUAGUUCUGCCCCACUGCUGCUGCCAUGUUAGUUUGACUUUAUGUGGAAGUUCUCAAAUCUUCAAACUUCAUGGAACUUUUCCCAUAUUGAUUUGUGUAAUGUAGAAUUUGUGUUUAGAACACAUGUUCAGUUCACGUAAUGUUGGCCAGUGGGGAAAGGUAGCUUUCAGGAAAAACUACCAAAAUGAUCUAAUUCUAAACUGUCAUUGAACCUGGAAUUAAUCCUUGGAUUAUUAUUAUUUUUUAAAAACCAAAUUUUGUUAAGACUUUACCUAAUACAUUACACACACAAAACAAACUUAUCU